GAUGAACGCUGGCGGCGUGCUUAACACAUGCAAGUCGAACGGAAAGGCCUCAGCUUGCAGGGGUACUCGAGUGGCGAACGGGUGAGUAACACGUGGGUGAUCUGCCCUGCACUUUGGGAUAAGCUCGGGAAACUGGGUCUAAUACCGAAUAUGACCACUUCUUGGAUGUUGUGGUGGAAAGCUUUUGCGGUGUGGGAUGAGCCUGCGGCCUAUCAGCUUGUUGGUGGGGUAAUGGCCUACCAAGGCGGCGACGGGUAUCCGGCCUGAGAGGGUGUACGGACACAUUGGGACUGAGAUACGGCCCAGACUCCUACGGGAGGCAGCAGUGGGGAAUAUUGCACAAUGGGCGCAAGCCUGAUGCAGCGACGCCGCGUGGGGGAUGAAGGCCUUCGGGUUGUAAACUCCUUUCGCUAUCGACGAAGCCACUUGUGGUGACGGUAGGUAGAUAAGAAGCACCGGCUAACUACGUGCCAGCCGCCGCCGUAA
rnacentral:rRNA from 1 species